UUGAACGCUGGCGGCAUGCCUUACGCAUGCAAGUCGAACGGCAGCACGGGUGCUUGCACCUGGUGGCGAGUGGCGAACGGGUGAGUAAUACAUCGGAACAUGUCCUGUAGUGGGGGAUAGCCCGGCGAAAGCCGGAUUAAUACCGCAUACGAUCCACGGAUGAAAGCGGGGGACCUUCGGGCCUCGCGCUAUAGGGUUGGCCGAUGGCUGAUUAGCUAGUUGGUGGGGUAAAGGCCUACCAAGGCGACGAUCAGUAGCUGGUCUGAGAGGACGACCAGCCACACUGGGACUGAGACACGGCCCAGACUCCUACGGGAGGCAGCAGUGGGGAAUUUUGGACAAUGGGCGAAAGCCUGAUCCAGCAAUGCCGCGUGUGUGAAGAAGGCCUUCGGGUUGUAAAGCACUUUUGUCCGGAAAGAAAUCCUUGGCUCUAAUACAGUCGGGGGAUGACGGUACCGGAAGAAUAAGCACCGGCUAACUACGUG
rnacentral:rRNA from 1 species